UUAGAGUUUGAUCCAUGGCUCAGGAUGAACGCUGGCGGCGUGCUUAACACAUGCAAGUCGAACGAUGAAGCCCACUUGUGGGUGGAUUAGUGGCGAACGGGUGAGUAACACGUGAGUAACCUGCCCUUGACUCUGGGAUAAGCCUGGGAAACCGGGUCUAAUACUGGAUACGACCUUCCCGCGCAUGCGGUGUUGGUGGAAAGCUUUUGUGGUUUUGGAUGGACUCGCGGCCUAUCAGCUUGUUGGUGGGGUAAUGGCCUACCAAGGCGACGACGGGUAGCCGGCCUGAGAGGGUGACCGGCCACACUGGGACUGAGACACGGCCCAGACUCCUACGGGAGGCAGCAGUGGGGAAUAUUGCACAAUGGGCGCAAGCCUGAUGCAGCGACGCCGCGUGAGGGAUGAAGGCCUUCGGGUUGUAAACCUUCUUUCAGUAGGGAAGAAGCCGCUCUUUCGGGGGGGUGAC
rnacentral:rRNA from 1 species